GGCGAAAUUCCGUAACGUAGGCUAGUUUACGCAUAGGAGAAUGCGCGCACGCCUAUUGGUUGGCACCGCGGCAGCAUGAAAACCUGCGGCGGCCAGAAACGGAUGGAGAGUUGCCAUCGCCGCCAGCGUGGCUGCGAGUACUUGUUUACACACUGCAAUAGGAACUGAAGUAUUGAGAAGGGAAGGUGCAAGGAGCAAAGAAAGCGAGAGAUGAAUAGUGAAAAGUGUGAUCUCCUAGUACAGUGUUGCAAUUGUGGAAGUUUUGUGGUCAGCCCUCGUUCCGUGCGGCGUUCCGUGUUGUUUGGCGUGUGUGUGUGUGUGUGUUUGACAUAAGCCGUUGCACAAGUACGGUGGAAGAAUUCAGUAUUGCUUGGCUGCACCUAAGUCUACAUAAACUCGACGGCCACUCAAGACGCACGCAGUAGAAGCCUCAAAUUCGUUUUGUUUUCAUAAUUGCGCUUCUCGCUUGUGGCUACCGUUAUUACCGCACGUUGUGCAAACACAUUUCAGCUGUGUUUCAUACAUUUGCUGAGAUAAUUUAAGCGUUCUGUUAUUCUUGCGUCUGAGAGGAUCUUGCAGUCAUGCAAGUCAUGCAAGUGUCAUGCAGUGGUCUUUUUUACUUUGAAGAAGACAAAAGCAGUGUCAAAUAAGAUCACAUGUACAAAUGCGUGACACAAAUGGCUAUUCAAACAUAUCCUUCUGCAAUCAUUCUACCAGUGCAUGCUCUUACGUUACGUCUUAAAGUCGUGGACAUAUUUCCCUUAUAGAUCCACUUACCGUUCUUCCAGCUCUGUAACACAGUGCUCUCUCUAAAUGCAGAUAUACUAUGACAAAUGGUUGUUGCUGUGGCACGCGCCUAUACUGUCGUCCAGGGGAUGGUUUAGGGGUCGACCCCCCUCAAAUCAUGCCCAUGGUAGUGCAUUUGGGAGAGGAAAACGGAGGGGGAUCCUCCUCCCCCAUGUAAAGUCCCCAUAGAAACUGCCCUCCUGAAAUAUUUUCUGGCUACCAUCACGUCAGCAAACUGCAGUCCACUCGGGAAGGAAGUGGUACCCCAUGGUCAUGGGCGUACCGAGAGGGGGCCAUGAACAUGGAACUCCAAGAUCGCUUGUAAAAAUGGUGCACUCUUUAGUCAUAGGUUGUAAUGUUUAUUCUCAGAUGCCAUGAUAGGAACCUCUGAACGCCCAAUGUCCGUCUCCAGAAAAAGGGGUGUUCGAGGGGUUGCACUCUUGCUCCACUUGGAAAAAACCCUGGUAACGUUAAUGCUCAUGGUUAAUGCCUAACACCAAAGCGGUCACACCCUAUGGACUAAUUUGUAGUCCACUGGAUUUGCUAGAAGUUAAAUUUAUAUUUCUACUUCCUUGACACAUGGUGCCUGUAGAAAUUGGCAAGACUCAGUGUGCCGUGUGUGCCUUUGAUUGGCAAGUCUCAGUCUACAGUAACAGACUCUGCUGGCACUUAAUACAGGCAUUUUAAUUUAGUUCUGGUGCUUGGAAGUCAUGAGCACUUUAUUUUAUGUUAUUAUUUUUAAAUUAUUGGUGAUUAUAUGGCAAAAUAACUUGUUACUCAAUUAACCUCUUUUGAAAGUUUUGGAGUAUUAUUAUGAAAGCAACAUUACACUCUUCCUCCCACACACGUUUUUCCUAUUUAAGCUUGAAACCUCGUUCAUCUUACCAAACAUGAAUAAUUGAACCUCUUUAUGCAAUAAGGGGAUAAGUCGAAAGAUACCAAACCCAGAGAAUGUGCCUGAUCCGAUUGUCCGUCCGUCAUCUGCUCAGACUCCCCACAUUACCGUGGUAUACACCCUUCUCCCUUUCUGACCACGAAUGUUCCUCUGUGUUGUUAAAAAAAAAAACUAGCUAAACUCCCUUGCUGGAGCGAAACCUGCAUUUUCCUGUAUCGUCCAAGCAAGACUACUGAAUGGUGUGUCGCUACUCUUCGCACACUAGGUCCACACUAGCACAUACUUCUUCAGUGCUCACACCAGAAACCUUCCCGAACCACCCUUUCAGGAUCUCUUAAUCAGCCGAACUCUCGCCCCCAUCACAUUGUCAAUAUUUCUUGGUCCAUGGCCACAUACAGCACACCAAAGUUCUGCAUUCAAAGCAUUUCUGACCUAUUUUGGCAUCAUAGGACUUCAGUACUCACUGUUAGGUGACUCAUUAUGAUAUUUUACCACACCACCACAGUCAACGGGUUUGAGUAUCGCCCCUGGUGAUGAAACUCCCCAAUCAUAAUCACCAAAUAAACUAGUUGUUGGGUACACACUAGCACAAAUUGUACAAUACACAUUCAGAGUACAUGAGGGGUACCAGGGCAGUUUUCUUCCUUAUAUGUACCUAUACGCCUAUACGUAGUCUCAAGCGUUGGAACAUGCAUCACCACGACUCCAUCAUCAUGGACAGGUCAGUGACGCAACCUGCAGGAGUGAGACAGGCUCUCUCAAGAAACAUGCGAAACAUUUCACACUGCAAACGAAUUAUGCGGGGUAGAAUAUAUGCGACGGCAUUGUGUGAGGUGCAAUAAGUGUAGAAAUCUUCAGUAAUAGAAUGUUCCAGUAUUCAUGAAUACCGAAAAGUCACAAAAGCUCCGUUCCUCCAGUAUACUUGCAAGACCAAACUAUCACGGCAAAUCAGCAUUGCGUCGUCUUGGCAAGCAUUUGCAAGCUAUCCGCCAUGCUAGAAUGCCUAGAGCAAUAAUGUGAAUUGCCAUAUAACAGCUGUUGCUACACCAGCUAAUCCUAAACGCUAUCCGGACCCACCGCACUAUCUGCACACUCCGUUCGUGACACUUUGUGGUCAGUUUAAUUUACUUCGAUUAAUUCUUCCACAUUAAUGAUUUGUGCCACAAACAUUGCCAGGAAAAUAUUGUAAAUAUUGUCACGUAAAAGGGUUGAAAACAAGAUAUAAUUGGGACAUGUUCCGAUUGGAAGCAGUGUCAGUACGCAUCAUUUGUGUUGAGGACGAAGCAUCUUCAAAUUCAACGUAUGUUACGAAUGUCCUUCUUUCUAAAUUGUUAUGGACGACGCCCAACGAUGGCUGGAUGACUGCACUAAACGUACAUCUACCUCGCGGAUUAUUAACACGGUGAAGAGAUCUGAACGGUGAGUUCUUUGCACUUUCAGGUAGUUCUGCUGUUUCAAUCUGUUCACUGCUUACCCACCUCCUGAAAGCAAUAUCUCAUAGGGUAGGGGUUUAGGUAUGAUGCUGGUUGAUGAUUAGGGGUCUUGAGGUGCAUAUAUAGUCAUCUUAGCCCAUAUUAUGCCGGACACUAGUACAAAAAUUCAGAUAGAAAAAUCAUGGAACAAGACUAGAUUCGCAAUAUGCAAUCUUAAAUGUGUAUAACUUGCUCAACAAGGAGUUCAGGUUCUCAUGAGGUAUAUUUGUUGAUCUUAUUGCAAGACAGUGCACUCUCAUGUUACAUAGCUAACAUACGACAUGCUAUUUGUUGUUCAUUUGUUCAUCUUUGUUGUCACAACCAGGUUGCUUCCUUCGAGGCAUGGCUGUGUUCGAGGCCAUACGCCUUCAUGAAACUAAGCUGGAGAUGUAAAACAAUGCCCAUGAACUGCUUGCAAGUCCAGCUGCUAACCCAACACAGAGAACAGUGUAUCACUGGUAUGAACAGUGGUGAAAGGAUGCAUAUGGCGAUGACAGAGAGGCCAUUCAGAAGCUGAAGGAAAAGACUUGUUUAUACAGACAAGAUGGCGCCUCAACCCUUCAUGACAGUUGCUGAAAAACCAGCUCUUCAUAGCAUCUGGCCAAAAGUGAGCCAGGUACUUUGCCACCUCCAUGUGGCUCAGCCAGAGUGGCACUGGCUAAAAUCUACGAAGAAUGUCCGCCCAGAACAGCGGAGGGAGCUGAUAUUGUGUAUGCUGACACUGCAGAUGGUUUGGAAAAAGCGAAGGAAGAGCUCCAAGCAUUGCUCCAGGACUGCUACAGAGCAUGUGUGCAAGCAUUCUUGCAAAAUGAACAGCAGUGGGUGAUGCUCUUUCGAAAAAGAAUCUUAAUGCGAGGCCCGACAUGUACAAAAUAAUGCGCAAAAGUAUAAGAUGCUAAAUAUGCAGCAUAAAAAGCAUUUAAAAUAGAGUACAAAAUACUCUCAAAACUGAAAGUAAUUUGAGUAAAGCACUAAAUACCCAAGUAUUUAAGGUACUAUUUAAAGUACUUUACCAUUAGCAGCAAGUGAAACGCCUAUUCUGGCUGAUGUGGCCGUACAACUGAAAGGAAUAAACUUCAUCUGCCAUACUUAAGCACAAUGUUUAUUUCCAAGGUCUUUGUGUCAUUUUGGUGAGCUCAAGUAAACUUUGGUGAUAUAUUCUGACCCAAAACUUUGUAACCCCUCCUGUAUGGCAGCUUGGGUUUUUCAACUUCUGAAGCGUGUUUAUUGCUUUGGUGACUAAGGAAAUAAAUGCUGGGAUUAUCUUGUACCUAAUCCCAUGGGGAUUCACCUGAGAAUAUGAAUAGGAACAGUUUCUGUAUUGCGUAGAGUAUCAAAAUACAGCAAAAAAGUAUACUCUAUUUUGAGUACCUACGUAAGUCUGCACGAGGCUGUAACACC